rnacentral:rRNA from 1 species
AUUGAACGCUGGCGGCAUGCCUUACACAUGCAAGUCGAACGGUAACAGGUUAAGCUGACGAGUGGCGAACGGGUGAGUAAUGUAUCGGAACGUGCCCAGUCGUGGGGGAUAACUACUCGAAAGAGUGGCUAAUACCGCAUACGGCCUGAGGGUGAAAGCGGGGGACCGUAAGGCCUCGCGCGAUUGGAGCGGCCGAUAUCGGAUUAGCUAGUUGGUGGGGUAAAAGCCCACCAAGGCGACGAUCUGUAGCUGGUCUGAGAGGACGACCAGCCACACUGGGACUGAGACACGGCCCAGACUCCUACGGGAGGCAGCAGUGGGGAAUUUUGGACAAUGGACGCAAGUCUGAUCCAGCCAUGCCGCGUGCGGGAAGAAGGCCUUCGGGUUGUAAACCGCUUUUGUCAGGGAAGAAACGAGUUUCUCUAAUACAGAGACUUAAUGACGGUACCUGAAGAAUAAGCACCGGCUAACUACGUGCCAGCCGCCGCAGUAAGAC